rnacentral:rRNA from 1 species
GAUGAACGCUAGCUACAGGCUAAACACAUGCAAGUCGAGGGACCGGCGCACGGGUGAGUAACACGUAUCCAACAUGCCCUUUACUCGGGGAUAGCCUUUCGAAAGAAAGAUUAAUACCCGAUAUAAAGGAUGGGCAUGCGUUCCAUUAGGUUGUUGGUUAGGUAACGGCUCACAAAGCCUUCGAUGGAUAGGGGUUCUCAGAGGAACGUCCCCCUCUUUGUCACUGCGACAACAUCCAAACUCCUACGGGAGGCAGCAGUAAGGAAUAUUGGUCAAUGGGCGCUAGCCUGAACCAGCACAGUAGCGUGAAGGAUGAAGGCUUAUGGGUCGUCAACUUCUUUUAUAUCGGAAUAUGUAUUAUAUGAAUAAGGAUCGGCUCGCUCCGUGCCAGCAGCCGCGGUAAGAC